ACCUGUGUAGGGAGGAAGGCAAACAUGACACUGUCAGUGCAUGAGGAGGAGGAGCCAUCGGCUGCGCACAAGUGGCAGAGGCCAAGGAGUGAGCUGCAAUGCCGUCUAACCUGGGGCGAAAGGCACACUACACCCUGGAUUUGUCUCCAAUCAAUCAUUUAGAGACAGACAACCCAUUCAUUUAUUCACACAGGGACUGAAUGGGAAGAGGACCCACACUGCUUGCACGGAUGUCAAAUGAGUACACCGCCAUAGAGGAUAAGGCACUUACAAAUGUCAGCAAACAGAUUUUCAGAAUAUUUGUCGAUGCAGACAUGCGGCGUGAAAAGAGGAGUCUCCUGUCAGAAUUACUUCAAAAAUGACCCCCUUCUAUUCCGCUGUCAUUCUUCAACACAUCAGUCAUCCAGGAGGCUCUUGUUCAGUGCUUCAAUCAGGGCAACGCACCAGGAGUACAUCUCAUUUUUUGUAGAGUCUGUGUCGAGAUUAUAAUUGGAGUUUAACUUUAGACCUGCACAAGUACACAGUUGUCCCCUUUUUUUUUUUUUUUGAAGCUCGAUGGUUUUUCAAAUUCACAUGACUUAGUUGAUUCGGGAACAUACAUGACCCUCUGCGGGACCUGGCACUUACUAAUAAGCACUAAGCACAAAUAAGCACUAAGCACAUUGCAAACUGAGUGAGAAAACCAAACUUCUAUUGUGCAGCCCUAUUUCUGACAGUGAAGUGAAAUGCAUGCAAUUUGUCAGGUGUCGGUUGAUCUCACUGCACACACACCCAUAAUGUAUAAUAAAUGAACAUAUCUUUCAACACUGAGCACCAGAGCCAUCAUUUUUGUCAUGCAAUGGAUGAUUCAUAUUCUAGCUGGGUUAGUGUUCUAUGGUGUCCUCUAACAGCAGCUUAGAGAAAGAAAGGCAAGAAUAAAGUGACAUGCAGGGACAUACGUCGGGGUUGUGUGAUGGGUGGGGGGGCUAAACAUUUUUUACUGCAAUGUCACUCACAGGCUGCGUGACAGAUGUGACAAUAUUCUCCCCAAAACUAGUGCGUGGAGCCGCAUUGCCGAGCUCCCCGCAGAGGACACCCUUGCACGGAUGAUGAUGACCAAGGGUGAGGCAUGCACUGAAUAGAAAGUCGCCCCCCACCCCCACCCCCCACACCCACGCGGGACAAGUG